rnacentral:piRNA from 1 species
UGACUCAUCGAAUUGCAUAAU